rnacentral:rRNA from 1 species
UAGAACGCUGAAGAGAGGAGCUUGCUCUCUCUUGGAUGAGUUGCGAACGGGUGAGUAACGCGUAGGUAACCUGCCUUGUAGCGGGGGAUAACUAUUGGAAACGAUAGCUAAUACCGCAUAACAAUGGAUGACACAUGUCAUUUAUUUGAAAGGGGCAAUUGCUCCACUACAAGAUGGACCUGCGUUGUAUUAGCUAGUAGGUGAGGUAAUGGCUCACCUAGGCGACGAUACAUAGCCGACCUGAGAGGGUGAUCGGCCACACUGGGACUGAGACACGGCCCAGACUCCUACGGGAGGCAGCAGUAGGGAAUCUUCGGCAAUGGGGGCAACCCUGACCGAGCAACGCCGCGUGAGUGAAGAAGGUUUUCGGAUCGUAAAGCUCUGUUGUAAGUCAAGAACGGGUGUGAGAGUGGAAAGUUCACACUGUGACGGUAGCUUACCAGAAAGGGACGGCUAACUACGUGCCAGCAGCCGCGGUAAUACGUAGGUCCCGAGCGUUGUCCGGAUUUAUUGGGCGUAAAGCGAGCGCAGGCGGUUUGAUAAGUCUGAAGUUAAAGGCUGUGGCUCAACCAUAGUUCGCUUUGGAAACUGUCAAACUUGAGUGCAGAAGGGGAGAGUGGAAUUCCAUGUGUAGCGGUGAAAUGCGUAGAUAUAUGGAGGAACACCGGUGGCGAAAGCGGCUCUCUGGUCUGUAACUGACGCUGAGGCUCGAAAGCGUGGGGAGCGAACAGGAUUAGAUACCCUGGUAGUCCACGCCGUAAACGAUGAGUGCUAGGUGUUGGAUCCUUUCCGGGAUUCAGUGCCGCAGCUAACGCAUUAAGCACUCCGCCUGGGGAGUACGACCGCAAGGUUGAAACUCAAAGGAAUUGACGGGGGCCCGCACAAGCGGUGGAGCAUGUGGUUUAAUUCGAAGCAACGCGAAGAACCUUACCAGGUCUUGACAUCCCGAUGCUAUUUCUAGAGAUAGAAAGUUACUUCGGUACAUCGGUGACAGGUGGUGCAUGGUUGUCGUCAGCUCGUGUCGUGAGAUGUUGGGUUAAGUCCCGCAACGAGCGCAACCCCUAUUGUUAGUUGCCAUCAUUCAGUUGGGCACUCUAGCGAGACUGCCGGUAAUAAACCGGAGGAAGGUGGGGAUGACGUCAAAUCAUCAUGCCCCUUAUGACCUGGGCUACACACGUGCUACAAUGGUUGGUACAACGAGUUGCGAGUCGGUGACGGCGAGCUAAUCUCUUAAAGCCAAUCUCAGUUCGGAUUGUAGGCUGCAACUCGCCUACAUGAAGUCGGAAUCGCUAGUAAUCGCGGAUCAGCACGCCGCGGUGAAUACGUUCCCGGGCCUUGUACACACCGCCCGUCACACCACGAGAGUUUGUAACACCCGAAGUCGGUGC